rnacentral:rRNA from 1 species
GGAGCAUGUGGUUUAAUUCGAAGCAACGCGAAGAACCUUACCAGGUCUUGACAUCCUUUGACCACUCGAGAGAUCGAGCUUUCCCUUCGGGGACAAAGUGACAGGUGGUGCAUGGUUGUCGUCAGCUCGUGUCGUGAGAUGUUGGGUUAAGUCCCGCAACGAGCGCAACCCUUAUUACUAGUUGCCAGCAUUCAGUUGGGCACUCUAGUGAGACUGCCGGUGACAAACCGGAGGAAGGUGGGGAUGACGUCAAAUCAUCAUGCCCCUUAUGACCUGGGCUACACACGUGCUACAAUGGAUGGUACAACGAGUCGCGAAGUCGUGAGGCCAAGCUAAUCUCUUAAAGCCAUUCUCAGUUCGGAUUGUAGGCUGCAACUCGCCUACANGAAGCCGGAAUCG